rnacentral:rRNA from 1 species
AAGUUGGUAACACCCGAAGCCGGUGGCCCAACCCGCAAGGGAGGGAGCUGUCGAAGGUGGGAUCAGCGAUUGGGGUGAAGUCGUAACAAGGUAGCCGUACCGGAAGGUGCGGCUGGAUCACCUCCUUU